UUUCUUCUUUCUUCUUCCUUCUUCGUUACUUUUUUCUUUCUUCUUCUAUUAUUCUUCUCUCUUCUUCUUUCUUCCUGAGCACACAGACACACACAGAGGGAGAAACAAGAGAGUGAGAACGGGAGAGAGAGAAGAGAGCUCAAAGUGAGAGAGUUGAGAGAGUGAGAUGCCGAGAGAGAAUCAGAGAGAGAGAAGAGACAUUGACCGAGAGAGGGAGAGAAACCGAAGCUGAGUCCGGGAGAAGCCGGAGAAGACCCAACCGGAGGCCGAGCUUCAGGUGGAGCCAGAGGACCCGACGGACCCAGACCCGAUUUCCGGCGAGUAGUGGCGUGAUUUCCGGUGGGUUUUCUAUGGGUAGUUGGAGGAGGCGAUUUCCGGCGAGACAAGCCGAUUUCCGGCGGGCUCAGGUGUUUUCCGGCCUAACCCAUAACCCCGAACCCAGCAAGGCCGUGACCCGUAACCCAGAACUCGUGACCCGUAAGUGCAAAACCCGACCGACCCAGCAAAACCGAAGAAGACCCGAUCGAUGGUGGCCAACGCUGGCGAUUUUCCGGCGACCCAAGCCUGUUUUUCCGGCGGUUCAGUGAGGAAUUUCCGGCAAUUCCUAGUGGAUUUUAUGUGAAAUUUCUAAGAUGACAGCAGUAAGACGAAGUCUUUUCCUUGUAAGGGCAUAGACCUCGCUGAGAGCGAUAGUUCGUGAUGAACCGGCCAAACCCUAGUUUUGUAUAGUAUGUUUUGUUCUUUUUGGAGUUCAUGACCUUGUAAAGAAUUAUUAAUAGAAAGGUUUAAUAAAAUAGGAGAUUUAAAUUUA